UACGAAGGGGGCUAGCGUUGCUCGGAAUCACUGGGCGUAAAGGGUGCGUAGGCGGGUUCUUAAGUCAGAGGUGAAAUCCUGGAGCUCAACUCCAGAACUGCCUUUGAUACUGAGAGUCUUGAGUUCGGGAGAGGUGAGUGGAACUGCGAGUGUAGAGGUGAAAUUCGUAGAUAUUCGCAAGAACACCAGUGGCGAAGGCGGCCUUCUGGACGAUAACUGACGCUGAGACGCGAAAGCGUGGGGAGCAAACAGG
rnacentral:rRNA from 1 species